GACGAACGCUGGCGGCGUGCCUAAUACAUGCAAGUAGGACGCAGUUGCGAACGGGUGAGUAACGCGUAGGUAACUACCUAUUAGAGGGGGCUAACUAUUGGAAACGAUAGCUAAUACCGCAUUCUAGUAGAUGGACCUGCGUUGUAUUAGCUAGUAGGUAGGGUAAUGGCCUACCUAGGCAACGAUACAUAACCGACCCGAGAGGGUGAAAGGCCACCAUGGGAAUGAGGAACGGGCCAUACUUCUGCGGGAGGCAGGAGUAGGGAAUCUUCGGCAAUGGGGGGCACCCUGACCGAGCACAGCCGCGGGGGUGAAGGAGGUUUUCGGAUCGGAAAGCUCUGUUGUGAAGGAAGCGUUACUUAACCAGAAAGGGACGGCUAACUACGUGCCAGCAGCCGCGGUAAUUC
rnacentral:rRNA from 1 species